rnacentral:rRNA from 1 species
UACGUAGGGGGCAAGCGUUGUCCGGAUUUAUUGGGCGUAAAGAGCGUGUAGGCGGCCAGGUAGGUCCGCUGUGAAAACUCGAGGCUCAACCUCGAGAUGUCGGCGGAAACCAUCUGGCUAGAGUCCGGAAGAGGAGAGUGGAAUUCCUGGUGUAGCGGUGAAAUGCGCAGAUAUCAGGAAGAACACCCGUGGCUAAGGCGGCUCUCUAGUACGUGACUGACGCUGAGACGCGAAAGCGUGGGGAGCGAACAGG